rnacentral:tRNA from 1 species
GCCCCCUUAGCUCAAUGGACAGAGCACGAGCCUCCGAAGCUCGGGAUGUUGGUUCGAUUCCGACAGGGGGCA